UACGGGGAUGGCAAACGUCAUCCGGAAUUACUGGGCGUAAAGAGAUGCGUAGGCGUUUUAUUAAGUUUUGAGUUAAAUCCCACAGCUUACCUGUGGACAUGCUCAGAAUACUGGUAGAAUUGAGAGAAGCAGAGGAAGGUAGAAUUACCCGAGGAGUGGUAAAAUACGUUGAUACGGGUAGGAAUACCAAUGGCGAAGGCAACCUUCUGGGCUUUUUCUGACGCUAAGGCUCGAAAGCGUGGGGAGCAAAACGG
rnacentral:rRNA from 1 species